UGAAAAUAUCCUUCGAAUCAUAUGAAGGAAAAAACCAACAAAACUGACACUUUGGGAGGGUUUUAUUGAUCAUGAGGGAGUUAAACUUUUCAACCAAUUUCAUGAUUACCCUAUCAUUCUUGCUAGGAGAAUUGGGAAAUCAUCCUCAGGAACGUCGAAUAGAUUCGUUGGUUUGACGAGCAGAUUCAAUACAACAAUUGAAAUCAAUCCUCCAUAUCCACAAGCUGCCGAAUUAAGGACGUGGAUCAAAAUAAUUGAAACAAAGCUUGUUGCUUAUAAGAUGAAAAGUACAACUCCAAUAGGCUCUAUUAUGUUGAUUCCAUUUAAGGAUGAGGUUAUA